ensembl:lncRNA
AAGCUAGACAACUUGCAAAAAGACUUGAAAAUGCCCCAACUGCACCUUCUCCAGAAAGUGGAAACUAGGUGGAAUUCCACCUAUUUAAUGCUAGAGAGGUUUUUUAACCUUCGGGAACCCCUCUCUGCAGCAAUGAGCAACAUGGACCUACCCAUGUUUUCCCCCAGGACUGGACUGCAAUGGUUGAUGCAACUGAGGUCCUGAGACCAUUCCUGGAGGUGACAGAGGAAAUGUCUGCUGAAAGCCACGUCACAUCCACAUUAAUUGUCUCGGUGCACAACUUGCAGAAGCUGACUGGAAGUAUGGCAAUCACUUAUGCUCCAGAGUCUGUUGGUCAGAGGCUAGCUAGCUCUUUAAACAAGCACCUGACCAAAAGGUGUGGCGACUAUGAAUCAACUAGAUUCCUUGCAGUGUCAAUGUUGCUGGAUCCUCGAUUUAAAAAAGCAUCAUGCGGCAUGGAUACAAACGCAGACAGCGCUGUUCGAGCGUUNUUUUUUCUUCUUUUAUUAAGACUUUUUUUAUAGAAUUGAAAACCUAAUUCAGUUUGAUAUCGGUCGCUUCAAUUGUAAACUAUUUUAAACGUCUGCUCUGCUCAUCCAGCACGAGCUGCUGAUAUCAAAGCUAUCUUAGGCUGGGCUGUGUGGGUAUAACACCUCUUAGCUCUGGUCUCUGUUUGCACUUUGAAUAUUGAGAGAGUUCUCUGAUUAUGGUUGCAUUUAUUGUUUGCAUAUAAUAAGACUAAGAAAAAAAAACUAAAUGAAACUGAAUUUUUAUUUCUAUGUUCAAUUUGUGGAAAGGAGUUAAUUUUAGGAGGUCAAACGUGCAGCCUCAGUCAGAAGUUCUGGAAGCUCAGAAUUCAUGUACAGUAAGGUCUGAAGCGACUCGUGUGAAAUCAUACAGGAGAGAAGCCAGUCAGAGUUUGUGGCAAAACCUUUUAUAGUGCUUAUAUAUUGUCUUUCAGUGCAUUUGAUAAUUCAUACUCAGAAAGUAGAACUGAAAUGAAAUUCAUUACAAGAUGAUUAGUUAUAACAUUUCAAAAUGUACCUGCAGAAUAUUUUUCCAGUCAUUAAUUUUUAUCAUUGAGGAUUUCUUAAAAAUACAGCAAAAAGCUUCUCUUCGUUCUUGUGAACCCAAUCUUGUGUCUCGUGAGCUAAGUGUCUCGUCACACACCCCUACUGUUAAUAAAUGAGAAAAUUAGAAUGUGUUUUUCUUUUUC